rnacentral:piRNA from 1 species
UAGUUAGCAACUCGCUCGGCCAUC